rnacentral:rRNA from 1 species
UACGUAGGCCGCGAGCGUUGUUCGGAGUUACUGGGCGUAAAGGGGGUGUAGGCGGUUGUUUAAGUUUGGUGUGAAAUCUCCCGGCUCAACUGGGAGGGUGCGCCGAAUACUGAAUGACUUGGAGUGCGGGAGAGGUGAGUGGAAUUCCUGGUGUAGCGGUGAAAUGCGUAGAUAUCAGGAGGAACACCGGUGGUGUAGACGGCUCACUGGACCGUAACUGACGCUGAGACACGAAAGCGUGGGUAGCAAACAGG